rnacentral:rRNA from 1 species
AUUGAACGCUGGCGGCAUGCCUUACACAUGCAAGUCGAACGGCAGCACGGGUGCUUGCACCUGGUGGCGAGUGGCGAACGGGUGCGUAAUAUAUCGGAACGUACCUUAUUGUGGGGGAUAACGCAGCGAAAGCUUUGCUAAUACCGCAUCAUCACUAAGGGGGAAAGCGGGGGACCGUAAGGCCUCCCGCAAUUAGUGCGGCAAAUACCUGAUGAGCUAGUUGGUGAGGUAAAGGCUCACCAAGGCAACGAUCAGUAGCUGGUCUGAGAGGACGAUCAGCCACACUGGGACUGAGACACGGCCCAGACUCCUACGGGAGGCAGCAGUGGGGAAUUUUGGACAAUGGGGGCAACCCUGAUCCGGCAAUGCCGCGUGAGUGAAGAAGGCCUUCGGGUUGUAAAGCUCUUUUGUCAGGGAAGAAACAGCAGCUCUAACACAGUUUGCGAAUGACGGUACCUGAAGAAUAAGCACCGGCUAACUACGUGCCAGCCGCCGCGGUAA